rnacentral:rRNA from 1 species
AGUGAACGCUGGCGGUAGGCCUAACACAUGCAAGUCGAACGGCAGCACAGUAAGAGCUUGCUCUUACGGGUGGCGAGUGGCGGACGGGUGAGGAAUACAUCGGAAUCUACUUUUUCGUGGGGGAUAACGUAGGGAAACUUACGCUCAUACCGCAUACGACCUACGGGUGAAAGCAGGGGAACUUCGCGCCUUGCGCGGUUGAAUGAGCCGAUGUCGGAUUAGCUAGUUGGCGGGGUAAAGGCCCACCAAGGCGACGAUCCGUAGCUGGUCUGAGAGGAUGAUCGGCCACACUGGAACGGGGACACGGACCAGACUCCUACGGGAGGCAGCAGUGGGGAAUAUUGGACAAUGGGCGCAAGCCUGACCCAGCCAUACCGCGUGGGUGAAGAAGGCCUUCGGGUUGUAAAGCCCUUUUGUUGGGAAAGAAAAGCAGCAGGUUAAUACCCCGCUGUUCUGACGGUACCCAAAGAAUAAGCACCGGCUAACUUCGUG